UACGUGGGGGGCAAGCGUUGUUCGGAAUUACUGGGCGUAAAGGGCGCGUAGGCGGCCUUCUAAGUCGGACGUGAAAUCCCUCGGCUUAACCGAGGAACUGCGUCUGAUACUGGAAGGCUUGAAUCCGGGAGAGGGAUGUGGAAUUCCAGGUGUAGCGGUGAAAUGCGCAGAUAUCAGGAGGAACACCAGCGGCGAAGGCGGCGCUCUGGGCCGGAACUGACGCUGAGGAGCGAAAGCGUGGGUAGCAAACGGG
rnacentral:rRNA from 1 species